rnacentral:tRNA from 2 species
CGGGAUGUGGUGCAGUAGGUAGCAUAUCUGUCCUGGGAACAGAAGGUCACGUGUUCGAUUCACGUCAUCCCGA